rnacentral:lncRNA from 1 species
GAUAAAAUAAAUAAUAAUGUAUCAAAUUGGAAAAUAAAUGUAUAAAAAUGGGGGUUUGUAAACAAUAUUAAGCCAAUAGUAAAGAAAAAAUAAUGUUUAAAAACAUAUGAAUAUUGUACAAGCCCAAAUUGCCUGGGCCCAAACAAAAGAAGCAGGCAAUUUCAGUAGCAGGCCUAAACUCGUCUAAGGCCCAACAAGUAAGUGGCCCAAUAACCCUUAAACCUAGCAGCUAACAGCCCAACACAUCGAAGUUAACAGAAAAACCCUAGGCAAUAGGGAGCGCCGCAUCUGGCUCAGCGCCAACAGCCCUAGCACGUCGCGCCCAAUGCCCGUUCGCCGCACAACUCGGAGAUCGACCCCUCUCCACGCACGGCACCUGCAAAAACACGGACUUAGAGAGUCCAAGAGAGAAGAAACAGCAAAAACAACAUUUAGAUUAGAUUAUUUUAUUUUCUUUAUUUCGGCCUAUAAAAGGCCUAUCAAAAUCUGUAGAAAGGGGGGGAGAUUGAAUAGGCAGAGAACACAAGAAAAAAAUAGAAAGAAAUAUUGAGAAUACAAGAUUUUAAAAGGUGAAUCGGGUUCUUUCAAUUUGUUUUUAUAUUUUUCUUUUCUUCUUGCGUUGUUAAAAAAGAAAUAACAAAGAAAAGGGGAAGGAUCUUACCCCAUUCGUUGAGGACGCCGGACUGGUGGCCAUCUCCGUCGCGAUCGGAGCGCUGGCCAGGCGAGCGACGGCGCGAGGACGCUAGGGGUGAAACCCUAGCAGAGUGCCUUUGGUUUUUUAUUGUUUUUUCUUCUGUUAUUU